CAGGACAUGACGAUGAAGCAAGCCACAGACCUGCUGCCAGCAGGCACCUGAGCUGUGUUGCCAGCAAAAUCUUCUGGGUCACAGUAGGGGACAUGCUGGGGAGAGGGAAGAUGUUGCUGGUCUAAAGCUCCCCAAAGGUCACUGAAAGAUGCCCCUCCAUGCUCUGCU